rnacentral:rRNA from 1 species
UACAGAGGAUGCAAGCGUUAUCCGGAAUCACUGGGCAUAAAGCGUCUGUAGGUUGUUUAGUAAGUCUGCUGUUAAAGACUGGGGCUUAACCCCAGAAAAGCAGUGGAAACUGCUAGACUCGAGUGUGGUAGAGGUAGAGGGAAUUCCUAGUGUAGCGGUGAAAUGCGUAGAUAUUAGGAAGAACACCAAUGGCGAAGGCACUCUACUGGGCCAUAACUGACACUGAGAGACGACAGCUAGGGGAGCAAACGGG